AUGCAAGUCGAAGCGAAGCGAUUUUUAAGGGAAGCCUUUCGGGGUGGAAUUAAAAUUUGACUUAGCGGCGGACGGGUGAGUAACGCGUGGGUAACCCUGCCUCAUACAGGGGGAUAACAGUUAGAAAUGACUGCUAAUACCGCAUAAGCGCACAGUGCUGCAUAGCACAGUGUGAAAAACUCCGGUGGUAUGAGAUGGACCCGCGUCUGAUUAGGUAGUUGGUGAGGUAACGGCUCACCAAGCCGACGAUCAGUAGCCGACCUGAGAGGGUGACCGGCCACAUUGGGACUGAGACACGGCCCAAACUCCUACGGGAGGCAGCAGUGGGGAAUAUUGGACAAUGGGGGAAACCCUGAUCCAGCGACGCCGCGUGACUGAAGAAGUAUUUCGGUAUGUAAAGGUCUAUCAGCAGNGAAGAAAAUGACGGUACCUGACUNAGAA
rnacentral:rRNA from 1 species